GUGCUCACUUCGACAGCACAUAUACUAAAAUUGGAACAAUAGAGAUUAGCAUGGCCCCUGUGCAAGGAUAACACACAAAUUCCAUUAAGCAUUUCAUAUGUUU